CACUCCACUGGGCUGCAGCCGUCAACCACGUACGAGCUGCCGUUGUCCUGCUCCGAAGUGGAGCCGAUAAGGAUGCCCAGGACCAGCGGGCGCAGGCGCCACUCUUCCUUGCAGCCCAAGAGGGGAGCUACAAAGUGGUUUGCCUCCUCCUACAACACGGUGCCCAGCAGAAUGUCCCGGACCACGUGGGCCGCCUGGCAAGAGAUGUGGCCCAGGAGCGCCUCCACCAUGAUAUCGUGGCCCUCUUGGACCCGCCCCACCCCUCCCCCCUAACUGGCCAGCCCCCAUCACGCAGGCCACGCCCCCACCACAACCGCUCAGCAGCCGACUCCCGCAAAUUAUCACGGCAGGCCGGCAAAUGUCAGCUUCCCCGUCCCAGAAAACGAAAUCCCUCUGAAGCGUCUUCCUCCCACCACGUUGCCCACGAGCAUAUCAGAGGCUGUGCUGCCAUCUCCUGAGUGAUUCCAACCCCCUCUGGGUGUGGGUGGUUCAGGGGAGGGUGCUGUGGGGCCCAGGGGGCAGCCAACCGAGCCAGGGGUGGGAUACUCUGCAGAGAGGUCAGGCAGGGAAGGACUUCAGCGGUCACAGGAAGACGCUAGAAGCUUCCUUGGAGUGGAGGAAGAAGUGCUCUGGUGCCCCUGCAUGGAAGAAUUAGGACGGCCAUGACAUCAGAGGAAUGUUGGAGAAGAGAUCUGAUGUCACGCAUGAUGUCACACGGCAGGAAAGGUGACCGUGCUUAUGAAUAAUGAUGCCUCUCCAAAACUGAAGGCUGCACGAAAGGCCUCCUCAUCAACUAGAUCUGGCUAUAGGGAAAGACGAGGGGGCGGUCUCAAGGCAGUGCGUUACGCCACCCCCAUUUUUGAGAACUGCCGCUGUUCCUUCCACACUCCUGUGUCUACACUUGGCUUCUGCACUGCGGGUUCCAGUCAGACCAGAGUCCUUUUAAGGAGAUGGACCGGGGGUGGAUUGAAACCAGGUGACUCCUGUCACCUAGCUGGAAAACGGCCGCAUGGUUGUCACUGAGGCAUCAACUACACAUUAUAAAAACCCCUAUUGUCCUCUGUA